rnacentral:rRNA from 1 species
GACGAACGCUGGCGGCGUGCUUAACACAUGCAAGUCGAACGAAGAGCGAUGGAAGCUUGCUUCUAUCAAUCUUAGUGGCGAACGGGUGAGUAACGCGUAAUCAACCUGCCCUUCAGAGGGGGACAACAGUUGGAAACGACUGCUAAUACCGCAUACGACCUAACCUCGGCAUCGAGGAUAGAUGAAAGGUGGCCUCUACAUGUAAGCUAUCACUGAAGGAGGGGAUUGCGUCUGAUUAGCUAGUUGGAGGGGUAACGGCCCACCAAGGCGAUGAUCAGUAGCCGGUCUGAGAGGAUGAACGGCCACAUUGGGACUGAGACACGGCCCAGACUCCUACGGGAGGCAGCAGUGGGGAAUCUUCCGCAAUGGACGAAAGUCUGACGGAGCAACGCCGCGUGAGUGAUGACGGCCUUCGGGUUGUAAAGCUCUGUUAAUCGGGACGAAAGGCCUUCUUGCGAAUAGUGAGAAGGAUUGACGGUACCGGAAUAGAAAGCCACGGCUAACUCUCCC